rnacentral:rRNA from 1 species
UACAGAGACUGCAAGCGUUAUUCGGAUUCACUGGGCGUAAAGGGUGCGCAGGCGGCCAAGUGUGUUAGGCGUGAAAGCCCGGGGCUUAACCCCGGAAUUGCACCUAAAACUACAUGGCUAGAGCAUUGGAGAGGGUAGCGGAAUUCACGGUGUAGCAGUGAAAUGCGUAGAUACCGUGAGGAACAUCCAGAGGCGAAGGCGGCUACCUGGACAAUUGCUGACGCUCAGGCACGAAAGCGUGGGGAGCAAAAGGG